GCGUGAGAAUCUGCCCUCAGGAGGGGGAUAACGGCUGGAAACGGCCGCUAAUACCCCAUAUGCCGCGAGGUGAAAUGAAUUUCGCCUGAGGAUGAGCUCGCGUCUGAUUAGCUAGUUGGUGGGGUAAGAGCCUACCGAGGCAUCGAUCAGUAGCUGGUCUGAGAGGAUGAUCAGCCACACUGGGACUGAGACACGGCCCAGACUCCUACGGGAGGCAGCAGUGGGGAAUUUUCCGCAAUGGGCGAAAGCCUGACGGAGCAACGCCGCGUGAGGGAUGAAGGCCUCUGGGCUGUAAACCUCUUUUAUCAAGGAAGAAGAUCUGACGGUACUUGAUGAAUAAGCCACGGCUAAUUCCGUGCCAGCAGCCGCGGUAAUACGGGAGUGGCAAGCGUUAUCCGGAAUUAUUGGGCGUAAAGCGUCCGCAGGCGGUCUUGUAAGUCUGUCGUUAAAGCGUGGAGCUUAACUCCAUUUGAGCGAUGGAAACUGCAAGACUAGAGUGUGGUAGGGCAGAG
rnacentral:rRNA from 1 species